UUUAUGGAGAGUUUGAUCCUGGCUCAGGAUGAACGCUGGCGGCGUGCCUAAUACAUGCAAGUCGAGCGAACGGAUGAGAAGCUUGCUUCUCUGAUGUUAGCGGCGGACGGGUGAGUAACACGUGGAUAACCUACCUAUAAGACUGGGAUAACUUCGGGAAACCGGAGCUAAUACCGGAUAAUAUUUUGAACCGCAUGGUUCAAAAGUGAAAGACGGUCUUGCUGUCACUUAUAGAUGGAUCCGCGCUGCAUUAGCUGGUUGGUAAGGUAACGGCUUACCAAGGCAACGAUGCAUAGCCGACCUGAGAGGGUGAUCGGCCACACUGGAACUGAGACACGGUCCAGACUCCUACGGGAGGCAGCAGUAGGGAAUCUUCCGCAAUGGGCGAAAGCCUGACGGAG
rnacentral:rRNA from 1 species